rnacentral:tRNA from 1 species
AGUUAAUUAUUUUAGAAAAUAAAUGUUUUGAAAGCAUUUUAAAGAGGUUUAAUUCCUCUAUUAACUU